UGGGGAAUAUUGCACAAUGGGCGAAAGCCUGAUGCAGCAACGCCGCGUGAGGGACGACGGCCUUCGGGUUGUAAACCUCUUUUAGCAAGGAAGAAGCGAAAGUGACGGUACUUGCAGAAAAAGCGCCGGCUAACUACGUGCCAGCAGCCGCGGUAAUACGUAGGGCGCAAGCGUUAUCCGGAAUUAUUGGGCGUAAAGAGCUCGUAGGCGGUUUGUCGCGUCUGCUGUGAAAACCCGAGGCUCAACCUCGGGCCUGCAGUGGGUACGGGCAGACUAGAGUGCGGUAGGGGAGAUUGGAACUCCUGGUGUAGCGGUGGAAUGCGCAGAUAUCAGGAAGAACACCGAUGGCGAAGGCAGAUCUCUGGGCCGUAACUGACGCUGAGGAGCGAAAGGGUGGGGAGCAAACAGGCUUAGAUACCCUGGUAGUCCACCCCGUAACGUUGGGAACUAGUUGUGGGGUCCAUUCCACGGAUUCCGUGACGCAGCUAACGCAUUAAGUUCCCCGCCUGGGGAGUACGGCCGCAAGGC
rnacentral:rRNA from 1 species